UACGAAGGGGGCUAGCGUUGUUCGGAAUUACUGGGCGUAAAGCGUGCGCAGGCGGCUUUCCAAGUCAGUGGUGAAAGCCCGGAGCUCAACUCCGGAAAUGCCAUUGAAACGUGUGAAGCUUGAGAACGAGAGAGGUGAGUGGAAUUCCCAGUGUAGAGGUGAAAUUCGUAGAUAUUGGGAAGAACACCAGUGGCGAAGGCGGCUCACUGGCUCGUAACUGACGCUCAGUGCACGACGAGCGUGGGGAUCAAACAGG
rnacentral:rRNA from 1 species